CAUUUUCAGUUGGCCUUAUCUUCACCCAAACGAGUGAAAGAGAAUUCAUUAUUCUCUUAUCUUUCUCGUUCCUUCUUCUUUCAUCUUCUUAUUUGUUCUUUCUUUCUUCCUCUCUGUUGGUCUCGGUUCCAAAAGUUUGAGGUUGAAUUAGUAUGAUCGAUUCUUAAUAAGCUUAGUAACAUGUUGAUUUGAGGGAGAAGGUGUUGAUGCUGCUAGCGAUGGAGUUCUGAAAGAAGCAGAAAAAGGUUAGUCGUUUUUAACAACAAUCGAUCUAAAGAUUGAACCAAUGGAUUAUGGAUCUCGAGGUAGGCAAGGCUUGUCAUCAAAAGAGGUGGGAACUCUGUAACCUUCUUGUAAUCAUUAAGUUCCUUUUCAUAUGCGAUCAUGAUGAGUCUUUAUUACUUUUGGCAUGUUUGUGUACUAUCUAUGUAAAUGCUUGUAUGUGCCUUAUUGUGCGUGUAAUAUACGUUGUAUGAUUUCCCCGCAAGGAGUGUCUGUGAUUCCCCACGGCUCUUUGCUAAGUUAAGUACGAUGGCUUCUUCCCCGUUUUAAUAUUACUUAGUAGGGUGGCUUCUUCCCCGUUACAAUAUAUUAGGAGGGAGGCUUCUUCCCCAUUUCGAUAGUAUAUACAUAAUAUAUAGUAGGGCGUCUUCUUCCCCGUUAUAAUAAUACCUAGUAGGGCGGCUUCUUCCCCGUUUCGUUAUUAUAUAUACUAUUUUAUUUUGGGAAAUCACUCGUGUGCAUAUUAUACUUGUUUGUCUAACUUUCUGAUCUUGAUGGUAAUAUUCUACACCAUAGUUUGUAUGGGAACUUUGUGUGGAUGAUAUUAUUAUUAUUGUUUAGGGUUUUUCUCGCGUCUUCUUCUCCAAUGAGUUUGACGAGGUUAGGAUAACACUUGCUUCUUGUUGCAUGAAUUGCUGAAUGCUUAGAUUCAUUACUCUUCUUUUCAAUUUAUGUUCUUAGAACUGUGAACCAUGUUAGUGAUUACUUGGAAGUUAUAUGUUUCUUUGGGCACCCUUUGGGACGAUGUGCUCACUUGUUCCCACUUAAGUUUCAGUAAUCAGAAGGAGUGAAGCGUGCGAAGAUAUUAGUUUUCGUAGCUUAGUGCUCUGCCGAAUAUAGUGUUGUCGUGUAUUUGUAUUAUAUGUAUUCUUUCUUUAUUGUGUAAAACAACACAUUUAUAUAUUUAUAUAACAUGAGAGACUUUCAAACA